rnacentral:rRNA from 1 species
UACGGAGGAUGCAAGCGUUAUCCGGAAUGAUUGGGCGUAAAGCGUCCGCAGGUGGCUGUGUAAGUCUGCUGUCAAAGAGCGAAGCUCAACUUCGUAAAGGCAGUGGAAACUACACGGCUAGAGUGCGUUCGGGGCAGAGGGAAUUCCUGGUGUAGCGGUGAAAUGCGUAGAGAUCAGGAAGAACACCGGUGGCGAAGGCGCUCUGCUAGGCCUGUACUGACACUGAGGGACGAAAGCUAGGGGAGCGAAUGGG